UGACCGUGCGAAGGUAGCAUAAUCAUUAGUCUUUUAAUUGAAGGCUUGUAUGAAUGGUUGGACGAGAAGUAAUCUGUCUCUAUUGAAAAAAUUGAAUUUAACUUUUGAGUGAGAAGGCUUAAAUGAUCUAGAGGGACGAUAAGACCCUAUAAAGUUUAACAUUAUAAUAACAAAAAGUUGAUUGGGUUAGAGAACUUAUUAUUAUGAAUAGUGUUUUGUUGGGGCGACAAGAAUAUAAACAAUUUAACUGUUCUUUUUUGUAUCAAAGAUAUUUGGGUUAAUGAUCUUUUUAAGAGUAUUAGAGUAAAUUACUUUAGGGAUAACAGCGUAAUUUUUUUUGAGAGUUCUUAUCGACAAAAGAGUUUGCGACCUCGAUGUUGAAUUAAAGAUUCUUUAUAAUGCAGAAGUUAUAUAAGAAGGUCUGUUCGACCUUUAAAUCUUUACAUGAUUUGAGUUCAGACCGGUGUGAGCCAGGUUGGUUUCUAUCU
rnacentral:rRNA from 1 species